rnacentral:rRNA from 1 species
AGUGAACGCUGGCGGUAGGCCUAACACAUGCAAGUCGAACGGCAGCGCAGUAAGAGCUUGCUCUUACGGGUGGCGAGUGGCGGACGGGUGAGGAAUACAUCGGAAUCUACUUUUUUGUGGGGGAUAACGUAGGGAAACUUACGCUAAUACCGCAUACGACCUACGGGUGAAAGCAGGGGAUCUUCGGACCUUGCGCGAUUGAAUGAGCCGAUGUCGGAUUAGCUAGUUGGCGGGGUAAAGGCCCACCAAGGCGACGAUCCGUAGCUGGUCUGAGAGGAUGAUCAGCCACACUGGAACUGAGACACGGUCCAGACUCCUACGGGAGGCAGCAGUGGGGAAUAUUGGACAAAGGGCGCAAGCCUGAUCCAGCCAUACCGCGUGGGUGAAGAAGGCCUUCGGGUUGUAAAGCCCUUUUGUUGGGAAAGAAAAGCAGCAGGUUAAUACCCCGCUGUUCUGACGGUACCCAAAGAAUAAGCACCGGCUAACUUCGUG